rfam:Trichobilharzia regenti genome assembly, scaffold: TRE_scaffold0006940
AUCCAGCUGACGAGUCCCAAAUAGGACAGAUGAAAUGCGCGUUAUCCUGGAU